rnacentral:sRNA from 1 species
GGCACGACGGUGAUAUUUUGCACAGCGGUGCUUGCAUAGGGGGCGGGUAGGCCGGAGAAUGAACAAUGAGCAGUUACGUGAGACUUUUUUUCGGGAUUGCGCAUCGCAGACCACACCAGCAAGAACACAUUUCGAUAGAUAAAGAGUACUGCGUGUCCCUCCUUCGAAACUGGCACACAUUCUACUCUUUGCUGUUGUUCACGGGAUAGUUACCUCAUUCCAGUGUCCGAUGUUGGAAAUAUACCGCCUGUAUGGAUGAUGGCAAACGAAGAGAACCGCCGAUAAGUUAAGGAAAUGCAG